UUAAGAAAAUUAGAACCAUAUCUAAUCUUAAACCUAAAAUCUUAUUAAUAUUUUUCAUUUGAAUCUUUGCUAUUAAAUCUCGUAAUUAAUUCCCUCAAUGACUGUUUAUGUAUUAAUUUUCACAGGUAUUCAUUUACUUGAUCAACAAUUAAGAGGAUUUUCGAUUGCAGUAAAUUGAAGAUUUCUCUCCGAGCGAGGAAAAAAAAAGCUAGCUCGCUUGUUUGAUGAACUUUCGAAAAGAUCCUUGGAGGGCGAACGCUGCGACCUUGGCGGUCAGCCUGUAGGAAUUGAUUUAUAAUAGGGCAGUAAAGCAGUAGGCUAAAAGGUCUCUGAAAGCAUCGUCUCGGUAACCUACAUCGUGAACAGAGAAAUUGUUGUGGCAAGCCUCGAUGGGGUGGCUUUUGCCUCGAGGUGAAUCUUCGCUACCGGGACGACGAAGAGAAACGCGUUGGAACAGAAGUCAUCGCCACGAGGAGAGAGAGAGAGAGAGAGAGAGAGAGCGAGAGAGAGAGA